GUCUACGGCCAUGCCACCCUGUACAUGCCUGAUCCUGUCCGAUCAUGGAAGCUAAGCAGGGUCGAGCCUGGUUAUUACUUGGAUGGGAGACCACCUAGGAAGACCAGGUGCUGUAGGUG
rnacentral:rRNA from 1 species